GAUGAAGAACGUAGUGAAAUGCGAUAAGUAAUGUGAAUUGCAGAAUUCCGUGAAUCAUCGAAUCUUUGAACGCACAUUGCGCCCCCUGGUAUUCCGGGGGGCAUGCCUGUCCGAGCGUCAUUGCAACCCUCAAGCGCGGCUUGCGUGUUGGGCGCCGUCCCCCGUGGACGCGCCCGAAAGGCAGUGGCGGUACCGUGCUCCGGUGCCCGAGCGUAUGGGCUUAAAACCCGCUCUUGUGGCCCGGCCGGCGCUGGCCUCGACCCCCAACUUUACAAGGUUGACCUCGGAUCAGGUAGGGAUACCCGCUGAACUUAAGCAUAUCAAUAAGCGGAGGA
rnacentral:misc_RNA from 1 species